rnacentral:rRNA from 1 species
UACGGGGGGGGGCAAGCGUUGUUCGGAAUUACUGGGCGUAAAGGGCUCGUAGGCGGCCAACUAAGUCAGACGUGAAAUCCCUCGGCUUAACCGGGGAACUGCGUCUGAUACUGGAUGGCUUGAAUCCGGGAGAGGGAUGCGGAAUUCCAGGUGUAGCGGUGAAAUGCGUAGAUAUCUGGAGGAACACCGGUGGUGAAGGCGGCAUCCUGGACCGGCAUUGACGCUGAGGAGCGAAAGCCAGGGGAGCAAACGGGG